rnacentral:lncRNA from 1 species
GAAUCUCCGACAGAGACAUAUUUCAUCGAUCCGCAUUUAGGGGCUGUUUGGUUAGAUAUAAUUAUAAAUACAGUGUAGUUAGAAAUGCAUGCAGUUGAAAAUACAAUAGUUAUAACUAGAUAAAUCUUAUUUAGUUGAAUGUAAUAAAAAGCGCUGCAAUUAUAAAUAAUUUGUUUGAUCGCAUCCAGUUGAGAAAUAAUUUUUAAAAUUUUAUUAUUUUAUAUAUAUAAUGGUGAGAUUACCUCUAAUAUAAAAAAGAAAAAUAAUUUUUAUUUAAAAAAUAUUAAGGAGGUGUACGGACUCUAAGUAU